UCUACCGUGUGUACUGGGGACACACUAUUCUAGCCAUCUUGUUGCUUUAACGAUUUAAUUCAUUGGUACAGUAGUUCUACAAUGCACUUUGAUGUACCGGUAACAUACAUUUCUAAUUAAGUUUUUCUUUGGUGUCGAGUUUACUAGCCUAGUGCAGAAUUUUUAUUCCCACGUGAAUAUGAUCUCUCUCUCUCUCUCUCUCUCUCUCUCUCUCUCUCUCUCUCGCACACAGAAGAUAAUUAAAAAUAAUGUUACUGGUUGACUUGGCUGUUAGUGUUAAUCAAUGCAAGUCCAUGUUUUCGGUGCCUAUGUAGACAUAGUCAUAUAACGCUCCACCCAUUUACUUUACAAAAAUCAAUUAUAACCAUUUUCAAUAAAACAAACUUUUAAAAAAAACCACUAACUACCAUUAUUUUACAUCUUGAUAUAUCCCAAAAAUCGACUUCAUACUAACCACAAGUUCAAGUCAGGUUGUUUGUGUUUAAAAUCCAGGCAGAAUACGUUGGAGGCCACUGACCGGUGGAAUCAAAGUACUGAAAGUACCGAACUGGGAACACAGAAAGUUUUAAGAGAAAUGAAAAUUUAAAACAUGUGUUAUAAAGCUUGUCAAUAUCACCAAUUUCAUGUAAGAUUCUGUUAUGCGCUGUCUGGUCAUAUUCAUUUUAAAACCUGACCCUGGAGAACUUUUACUCAAGUCUAAAUCAAAUUGUGCAGAAAACAGAAUAUUUUCCAUCUCACUAUAUGACUGUGAAUUUAAUGAACCAAUAUAUGUGGUAAAACUUUCAGAAAAUGGGAUAUUUUCACUCUCAUUGUAUAAAAUAUAUGAAUGUCCGUUGUAAUAUUUUGGUCUUUGCAAUUGACUGGAACGAACACUUCAAUGUUAAUUUAAUAUGAUCUUUGGCUUCUGGUGGGACUGUAAAUCUUGCAAGUUUUCCUAUGAGAAUUGUUUCGUUUUUAUUAUUAUCAUCACUGGCAUAGCUUUACUGCAUUUACGAAUUUCCCCAAGUGAAAAAGAUAAUAGAAAUAGCACUGUGCUCUUUGCAAUAAAUUUUCUUUUGGUUUGUUUAAGACAAUCAUACUGAAUUUCUUGAGGUGACAAUGAAUCUGCUAAUGUUCGUAGAUAAACUCAAAUCUCGGAUAAAUUAUCAAAGAAUUUUUUUUUAAAGGUAUAUAUUUUCUAGACUCGAACUGCAAAUCACUGCAAUCUCGAGCAUUGCGAUCAACAAAUUGUGGAAUACAAUUCCAACUGCUUUUCCAACACAAACAAAUAUCACCUUGGAAGAAAUUUCAUCAGGGGUGUGAUUUUUCCUCUUUUCAGAGGAAAUCCUCUGAUUCGCUCAAUUUUCGGGGAAAAAUGAAACACUCUGGAUUGGAUCUAAAGUGGCAGAAAAUGAUAUUUCUCCAGGUAGAGUGAGGUGUUUUCCUCCCUUUUUGACCAGUUUUCCUCUGAUUUCUGAGGAAUUCAGUCACAUCCCUGUUUCAUUGCAAACACUAAUGAUUAUAAUGACCAAUUAACUGUAAAAUCUGGGGGGAAAUGGAUGACGAGGGAUACAAGAAUGUGUAACUAGUACAAUGACCCAUUGAAUGUACAAAUUUGUGUAUAGUGUUUCUACAUCAUGUAUAAAACUACUAUAGUAUUUGUUUUCUUCCAGAUCAGUCAAUUAAUAGAAAUAAAACACAAUUAGCAGCACAUUGUCUCCCUCUAAAUGAAUUAGAAAAUAUAUACAUAUCCAUCCCCUUGAUGAUAGUCAGCACUGCAUAAGACUCUUAACGUAUUUUUCCCCAAGUGUAUUAAAAAUUAGUAGUAUUCAUUAUUGUUGAUGAAUUUCUUUCAGUAUUGAUAUUUAUUCCUUCUCCGAUAUUCUGUCCAUAUAUGUCCAGUACAUAUUCUUUCAGUAUUUCUUCUAUCUCCAAGUAUUUUAUUUUCUAGGAUUAUUAGAGAACUGUAUUUGUUAAGUAAUCAUUCUCCAUUUAUUUGUACAAACAAACUAUUUACAAAACUGAAAGAAUAAGCUAAUCUUCAAAUAUGUAUUUUAAAAAUUUUGAUUUACAUUUACCGGUUUUCGUUCUUCCAAUUUAGCUAAACUUAUGGCACAUUCGAUUUUUGGGGUGGGGUUUUUUUUUUCAAUUGAAAGAAACCAGGAAAGUAUGUCAUAGGCUGUAAAUCGUGAUUAAUACAGUGUAUAAUUUAUUUGCUAAAUUUUAUUGACAUUUUAAGAUAUGAAUAUAACAAAUCUUAUAUUUACAUUUUGAUACUAUUUAUGGAUGCAUAUGAACUAUACUGCUACUACUUUCCAGUCAAGAAUACAUUCAAUUUCACCUGUUCAAGUUGUAUACUUGUAAGUCACAUAGAAAACUAAACACGUCAUUUUGAAAUCUCUGGCGCCCCUAGGUAACUUACACCCCCCUUCUUCAUCCUUUAAACAUAACCUAAAUUAACUACUUCUAAUGAAGAACUGUCAGUCCUAUGAUUUGGUCUCGUCUGUUAUUCGUAUCAGAAAAUAGAGCGAGGGAAGGAUGGUAGUUCUAUAAUGUUGAUGUGUGUCCCCAUCCCUUCUUGAAGUAAUAUUUUGAUUUUAAAUAUAUAGAUGUAUCACAAAUACGCAACUUCCGAGAUAUCAGCUCUUCUGUGAUAGAGGUACGUUCAGUGUUCUGUUGAACGCUUGGGUGGGUACAAGAUGUAUACAACGUACAUAUACUAUAGACUAGCUAUGUAAAUACGGAUAAAAGUAAUGAAAAUGUAAAUUUUGUUUAUAUCAGCCGUUGGUAUACAUCAAACUGACAAUAUCAAGAAUAAUAUUUGAUUGAAUUAGGCCAUUAAAUUAAAUAUUAAAUUAUUUUUUAUUUCCUCUUUUGCACGAGUGAUAUUUUAAUCAAAGAAAAUGGGGAUUAUUGUUUUUUGUUUGAGCUAUUUGAUUAUUAAAUACUGAUAAACUUACUAGUAUUGUGUGUCACUCUAGUUUGGGUCGUUGCAUGACGUCUGAUAAUCGGCCUUUAGGCAAUAUAUGAAGGCAGCGACAAGCAUUUGUACCCACCGCGUGUGGACGAUAGUAUGUUUUGCAUCUCACUGUGCGUAAGAGUUCCACAAAGGGAAAGAACUAUGGAGCAAUUCGGAAAUUGCGUAUUGAUUUUGAUCGUCUUAUAAUCAUAGUUGUUUUCAAGAACAGAUGAGUAAAUUGCGUCAUUUCAAUGUCUAACAUGCAGUAUUUUUUCUCUCCCAAUCAUAAAACAAGUAUUUUUCCACAGGCGAUUUUCUAAAUCCUCCAUUCUUAGUCACCUUCCCUAAAAUUUAUCUGUGUUCACAAAUCUUACUCACUUUAGACUUCAUCUCAUAAAGUGUUGAAUACAUGUAGAUAUAUUCAGUGACAGACAUGAUAAAGUCAGAUCAUUUAGACAUGUUGAGGUGAUUAUUCAGGGCGGGAACAUUAAAAGCAAUUGGGGUGGCAACAUGUGGUACAUCAUAUGUACGACCUGCAAUGAAUAUUACAAGUUAAUUAACUGUUUAGUCAACCAUAUUAAACUUAAUUGUCGGACUUUUGAAUUGAAAAGUAUUAGAAACUCUAGCCAUAAUAUUUGUUUCAUCAACAUCAUAUAAAUAUCAUAUCUUGACGGAUAAAAUACUUGCCUUCAUUGGCAUAAUGAAUUGUCUUUAGAUGGCCAUCUUCAUAGAUCCUCCCUUUCGUCAUACAAUGUAGAACCCUUUUCAAGAUUUAAUUUGCAUUUUUCCCAACUUUCUUUCAGAUCAUGAUGAACUCUGGAGGCCAUUGAGCUUCGAAAAUGGAAUGCGGAGGGGGAAAGCAUGAACAGGAUGCCUAUAUCCGGUCAUGAAACACAAUGUGUUGAUCCUCUUGAUUCCACCAUACACUUUCUCCUAGUAACAAGUAGUUAGCUAUUCGCUCGAAAUGGCUUUGAAAGAGUGAUGUUCGUUUUUCAAUCAUGGACUUUGGAAAUGUUGUUGGUUCUUUUAUUUGACAGCAUUUUUGAUUGUUUACUUAUUGCAGAGUCAUGUUGUUAAAAAAAACUCUGGUUUCCCAGAUCCUAUUACUUGGGCGUUGUAUCUGAUGAUGGCAUUUUUAAUAAUGUUGCCUUGCUUUCUGUCAAUUCUGUUUCUUGAGAUGUUGCGCAGGCUUCCAAAACUUCUUCCUUCAUUUUCAGUUAAGAUGGGCGGUAGACAAAAAAGAUUGUAAAGUUCAUGUGUAACGAGACUGUGAAAAUGAGACCCAUAAAACUAUCUGGUUGUCAUUUUAACUGGAUUUCCGAUGAUGAGUUUACAAAGAUAGCCAAAGUAGAAGGAUUGGUUAUAUAGAGGCAAUAUUUGUCUUGGAUUUCUAUCUGACGCUUUACUGUAGGCGAUAGAUAUGCUAUUUGUAAGACAGUUGAAAAGUUGCAGGACAUUGGCAUUGAUUUUUCCCUCAGAAUGUUUGAUUUCGGAAAAUUUAGCAAGUUUCACUACAAAGAGUCUUGCGUCAGAACCACGGACUUGAUUUCUGUAUCCAAUUUAGUUGUUUACUAAAUAUUUCAUAUUCUUCUUGGAUCUCUUUGUUUGAAAGGUGAUAAGGUAAUUUGGUUAUUAAAUCUGCUACCAUGUUAGAAAUGUCAUGUAAGGGUUCGCAGCCCAAAAUUUCAUAUUUCUAUAAACAGAGUUGUUUGAUAGGGUCGUUGUCCAUUGUUCUGGUGCAAGAGUAGGGCUGGUGGUCUCUGGAUGUCUUGCAAUGUUUCGGUAAGCUGCUUUGUAACAACAUAUUUCUAUGUGUCAAAAACUUCAGCUCCUCUUGCGUCUAAUUCAUCGAUGAUGGGCUGAACUCAGAGGUGUGUGAAUGGAUUAACAUUUCGCUCCGUAUCGAAGUUCCCUUCUGAAUUGAUCAAAUCUAUCUUUCAGGGUUAUUAAUGGUUUUCUGAAACAAAUGCAGCUGUAAUAACCGCCUCGCUGGUGUCCUGCUUCAAAUUGGCUAGCAGGGUUGUCGCCAUUAAACACACCCUACUGAGCAGUUCUCGUUUUCUCCAUCAGCAAGGUCAAGCUGCACCCCAAUGCUGAUUAUUUCUGAGCCAUGUUGGAAAUUAUAGUCUCCAAACUGAUGCAGUUUAACUUCUUUUUUUUAUGUCAUAAAAAUAAAUUCUUUUAUAAUCGAAUGUUUGAAAUGUGGAUUAUUUUGAGAGAAAAAUAAAUAAAAAUUAUGUAAAUUCA